rnacentral:misc_RNA from 1 species
UAUAGCGUUCGUUUCGCCACUUGAUUGGCCCGAGACACACAACCACACAGGCCCAGUCAACCUGCGAAUCGGCGAGACACGUGGAGGCCAGAGGAGGGAUACGACACUUGAGGGCAACAGUAACAGGACCCGCCUCUCUCUCUCUCCCCCUCUCUCAGCGUGUGCGUAGGCGGCCGCGUACGCACGCGCACACGGACAUACGUAUAGCUCGUCACGCCGUAUGUGAAGUCAUGCCGCACAUCCCACGCAACCAUUAUCUCGUCGUCCACGACGCCAUUCGCAAGCUUCUCGGCCCCGAUGCGCAGCUGGCAGCGUUCGUGAAGGCACAGCAUGCUUUCCAGUGCGACAUGCUUGUGAACGACGCUCGCACGGAUCCAGAGGAGCUCAUGCGCGCAGGGGCGCGACACAGCGGUGGAGGCAUCGGUGACGAUGCAGCCGCCAAGGCUGGCGUCGGCGAGUUCGCGCGUAGGCUGCAGGGGGUGCUAGGCAUUUGCGACGUGGUGCCCCACACCCGCCGUGUCGACGUCAUCUUCCGUGAUCGCAGCUUGAUCCAGCUCGCCCUCGGCGCGGCGAAGAGGGACCUUCCCUAUGCACUGGAGACCGGCGCGGACGUCAACCAAGAGCCGGACUGGCGCCUACGCAAUCGACUUCGUAUAUCCCUCGGGUACGACGAAGAGCUCUUCCUAGCGCAAUGCACCCGCAGCAUGAACGUGGCGGCGCGCAUCUUGGAGAAGCGUGCCUUCGACUCUGCUCGUUACUCGGCCUUGAUGAGUACUAACGCGGCGAUGGCGGCGAUGUACGAGGCAAGCGGCCAGCGGUGGCAGGCGGUGCUGCCUCCGGUGACCUACUGGCAGGCGCACUGCUACUCGCUGAUGAAGGCGUACCCAUGUCGUCACUAUCAGCAGAUCGUCGCAACUGUCGAGCACAACUACGCUGCGUACUAUGACGAGUUCCCAAUGACGAACCCGUACUGCGACGGCGAGGACCUCAACACGAUUCAGGUGGUGAAGUGGUUGUGCGAGGCAUUCAACGCGGGGGCGGCGGUGUCGCAGGUCACAUCGGCUGCAUCAUCACCGGCUACUUCCAACGAGUGGCAGACCGUGGACUGUUCCAUGCCUGCAGCGAUGGAGGACGGCGAUGCAGAGAAGGGUGCUGCGGUCAUGGACAACAUGACUGAUGGCAGGUCGAGCCAGGAGGGGCGACACUGAUGCACUCGAUGGGGGAUGCGUCGGAUGGCACGGGGCAACGGCAGCGUCCUACUUGUCGGUGUGUACGUGUGCGCCUCUUUAUAUCUCUGUGCGGGACACACAGUGCAGUACAGAGGGCAGGAGGCGGCGGAGCUUCUUCACACACACACACACACACAACCUCGAGCCACUAUCCCUUCGUUGUAUGCUUGGCAGAUGAGCAGCCUCUUGUGCCUCCACCUCUCCCGCCCUGAUGGCCCGUUGCACUGGAAGGGUCAGGAGGGGACGCGGAGGCGAGACGGAGACCACCUCACAAGCGAACAGGAACACCAAAAAGAGUAAUGGGGCACGUUGGAGAGCACCAGCCGCAGCACAGCGGCAACACCGCACCGCACAACGGCGGUGGCGGCCACAACGCGAGCAAGAGAGAGGGAGGGGAAGAGGAGGCGAAGAGCCAAACAGUGCGCAGGUGACAGGGCGGCUCACCGCACAUGAGUUCCUUCUCCGACCCCCUCUCCCUCCCUCCCUCUCCUCUCGAGGCCGUUCACCGUUGCUCGUUGCAUGCAUGUGUAUGCUGUCCUGCUCGCCUCUCUUCUCUCCGCGCAUACGGUUUUCAAUGGCCACCCUCUCACUUCCAUGGUGUUCUCCUUUUCGUUCUUAG